AUAAUUUACCGAGACCACGUCAGAAAACAAAGUAUAUAAUAAUUCAGGGGUGAAAGGGAAACAAAAAAUCUCGGCAACUAAAGAAAAAUUGGAAAAGGAAAGUGCGAUUAAAAAAUAAUCUUUCGACCUGUGUUAAGUCAGGUUAAUCACUUGGUUAAAUUACUUAUGUCUUUAUCUCGGGUUACGGUACAAUCAAAAUCGAUUUCAUCGUCUUCUUUAUCUCUUUCUCUCUUCAUCGUCAUUCAUCAUCAUCAUCAUUCAUCAUCAUCAAAUCUCAGGAUCUUGGAGGUGGCUCUUCUCUUUCGUACCUACCUUCUAGACUGUGAUUUCCAAUCUUCGAACUCUCGUAGAGGAUUGAAAGAGCUGCUGAGUCCACGAGUUCUUCUCCAUCAGUAGCUUCCGGUGAUAGAACCCUAAUCCAUGAUGAUGAAUUCACUCUAACAGAGGUUAUAUUGUUGUCAACCUAUCAAAUCCCUAAUCAAGAGUUUCUUCAAAUUCAGUGUGUCAAUGUGAUCGAGCACUUAGUGAAGUAGAUGAGAUUUUUGGUUAAUCAUAUUUUCAAAGACAAAUCUUCACUUUCGAUCAAUUCAUGGAAGCAAAUUUCUCAAGAUACAUAUGAAGUAGUAUCUAGUUCGGUUCAUGGCUCAUCAAUUACUAUUUUUUCCAUCUUGUCGGAGCUCUUGAGCUCUCGGUAUUACAGAGAACGAUAUGGUGCUUUUGAGACUUCACUUUCCUAGUAUUCUGAGUUUCAAUGUCUUCGGAGGCGUCUUCAAUCAAUAGCAAAAGCACCAGGUGAUU